GAUGAACGCUGGCGGCGUGCUUAACACAUGCAAGUCGAACGAAGCACUCUAUUUGAUUUUCUUCGGAAAUGAAUAUUUUGUGACUGAGUGGCGGACGGGUGAGUAACGCGUGGGUAACCUGCCUCAUACAGGGGGAUAACAGUUGGAAACGACUGCUAAUACCGCAUAAGCGCACAGGAUUGCAUGAUCCGGUGUGAAAAACUCCGGUGGUAUGAGAUGGACCCGCGUCUGAUUAGCUAGUUGGCAGGGUAACGGCCUACCAAAGCGACGAUCAGUAGCCGACCUGAGAGGGUGACCGGCCACAUUGGGACUGAGACACGGCCCAAACUCCUACGGGAGGCAGCAGUGGGGAAUAUUGCACAAUGGGGGAAACCCUGAUGCAGCGACGCCGCGUGAGCGAAGAAGUAUUUCGGUAUGUAAAGCUCUAUCAGCAGGGAAGAAGAAUGACGGUACCUGACUAAGAAGCACCGGCUAAAUACGUGCCAGCAGCCGCGGUAAUACGUAUGGUGCAAGCGUUAUCCGGAUUUACUGGGUGUAAAGGGAGCGCAGGCGGUGCGGCAAGUCUGAUGUGAAAGCCCGGGGCUCAACCCCGGUACUGCAUUGGAAACUGUCGUACUAGAGUGUCGGAGGGGUAAGUGGAAUUCCUAGUGUAGCGGUGAAAUGCGUAGAUAUUAGGAGGAACACCAGUGGCGAAGGCGGCUUACUGGACGAUAACUGACGCUGAGGCUCGAAAGCGUGGGGAGCAAACAGGAUUAGAUACCCUGGUAGUCCACGCCGUAAACGA
rnacentral:rRNA from 1 species